CCUACGGGGGGCUGCAGUGGGGAAUCUUGGACAAUGGGCGCAAGCCUGAUCUAGCCAUGCCGCGUGAUCGAUGAAGGCCUUAGGGUUGUAAAGAUCUUUCAGGGGGGAAGAUAAUGACUGUACCCCCAGAAGAAGCCCCGGCUAACUCCGUGCCAGCAGCCGCGGUAAUACGGAGGGGGCUAGCGUUGUUCGGAAUUACUGGGCGUAAAGCGCACGUAGGCGGACUGGAAAGUUGGAGGUGAAAUCCCAGGGCUCAACCUUGGAACUGCCUUCAAAACUCCCAGUCUUGAGUUCGAGAGAGGUGAGUGGAAUUCCGAGUGUAGAGGUGAAAUUCGUAGAUAUUCGGAGGAACACCAGUGGCGAAGGCGGCUCACUGGCUCGAUACUGACGCUGAGGUGCGAAAGCGUGGGGAGCAAACAGGAUUAGAUACCCCAGUAGUC
rnacentral:rRNA from 1 species